GCCUUGAGGAGAUCAUUCUAAGUGAAAUAAACCAGUCACAAAAAGACAAGUACUGUGUGAUUCCAGUCAUAUGAGGCACCUAGAAGAGUCCAGUUCAUAGAGACAGAAAGUAUGUUGGUUGCCUAGGGCUGGG